rnacentral:rRNA from 1 species
CCCUUAGAUGUUCUGGGCCGCACGCGCGCUACACUGAUGCAUUCAACGAGCCUAUCCUUGACCAACAGGUCCGGGUAAUCUUUGAAUCUGCAUCGUGACGGGGAUAGAUUAUUGCAAUUAUUAAUCUUCAACGAGGAAUGCCUAGUAGGCGCAAGUCAUCAGCUUGCGUCGAUUACGUCCCUGCCCUUUGUACACACCGCCCGUCGCUCCUACCGAUUGGGUGUGCUGGUGAAAUGUUCGGAUCGGCCGUUUGUCGCGGUUUCCGCGUCAUGUGGCUGAGAAGUUCAUUAACCCCUCCCACCUAGAGGAAGGAGAAGUCGUAACA